UCUAAGUUUUAUGAUUAAAAGGGAAUUGAGUGAAAAUCUCAAACGGUCCGGCCGCUGUAAUUUAGCAAAUAGCUUUCAGAUACCAUUGGAUGUAUAUCUGAGAAGGAGAAAGCUGUGGUUGAGCUAUAAGUCAGAAGACCUGCUUAGAAAGAU
rnacentral:ncRNA from 1 species